rnacentral:rRNA from 1 species
GGAUACGACCAUACUUAGCUGAGUACACCAUAUCCCGUCCGAUUGUUGAGUUAAGCAGCUACAGGCCUAGUUAGUACUGGGGUCAGUGAUGACUUCGGGAACCCUCUGAGACGUUGCCA